rnacentral:lncRNA from 1 species
GAGAUAGCUUUGAUGGCUGAUGUCCUCCCUCUCAAUCAACUCUUGAUUGUGCUUAGAAGGAGGAAGAAGAAGGAUGAAGAAGAGGAAGAAGAUGAUCCCCUACGCAGCCUUCUCUUGUUCCUUGUGUUGGAUGAAGGAAGGGAAGGGAAGGAGGCCGCCAACACUUGGAGAGCUUUUCCCUUGCUUGCGGCUGAGAACACCAAGGAAAGGAGAGGGCCAUGACUUGGAGGAAGAGAGGUUUUCAAUACCUAGGGUGCCGGCCUCAUAGUCCCUCUUAUAGCCAUCAAGGGCUCCUCCAAAGUUGGAGCCCUAGAUAACUUUCCAAAGAGAGAAGGGGGGCGCCGGCCCCUCUCUUGCCGCACACAAGGAGAGGAGGAGGGGCGUAAUCCCUCCUUCUUGUGAUGCCCUAAUCCUCUUCCAAAGAGGAUUGGGUACCUCUCUUAUGGUUUAAUCCCAAUCCAAUUAGGAUUAGCCAAUUGGGUUCAAUCUAUGCUAGUCCUAAUCCAACUAGGACUUGAAUGAACCAUGACUCAAUUGAACUCUUCAAUCCUAAUCCAAUUAGGAGUCAUGUUGAUUCAUUAAAUUAUUAAUUAAUUUAGACUUAAGGAAUCCUAAUCCAAUUAGGAUUUGUUUAAUUUUAGUCCUAAUCCAAUUAGGACUCUAUUUGAAUCCGAAGUCCUAAUCUA